rnacentral:rRNA from 1 species
CCUACGGGAGGCUGCAGUGAGGAAUAUUGGUCAAUGGACGAGAGUCUGAACCAGCCAAGUAGCGUGAAGGAUGACUGCCCUAUGGGUUGUAAACUUCUUUUAUAUGGGAAUAAAAUGUUCCACGUGUGGGAUUUUGUAUGUACCAUAUGAAUAAGGAUCGGCUAACUCCGUGCCAGCAGCCGCGGUAAUACGGAGGGUCCGAGCGUUAUCCGGAUUUAUUGGGUUUAAAGGGAGCGUAGGUGGAUUGUUAAGUCAGUUGUGAAAGUUUGCGGCUCAACCGUAAAAUUGCAGUCGAAACUGGCAGUCUUGAGUACAGUAGAGGUGGGCGGAAUUCGUGGUGUAGCGGUGAAAUGCUUAGAUAUCACGAAGAACUCCGAUUGCGAAGGCAGUUCACUGGACUGCAACUGACACUGAGGCUCGAAAGUGUGGGUAUCAAACAGGAUUAGAUACCCUUGUAGUC